rnacentral:snRNA from 1 species
GUGCUCACUUUGAAAGCACAUAUACUAAAAUUGGAAUGACACAAGAUUAGCAUGGCUCCUGUGCAAGAAUGACACACAAAUUCAUGAAGCGUUCCAAAUAAAA